UUAAUUAUUGCUUUGAUAAAUUCAGACAACAUUAUUAAUUAAAGAUUUUUCUGUUGGGCUUCGGUAGGCAUUUUUUAAGCCCACCGAAGCAACAAAACUUGGUGGUAUACAAGGGGUUGGAGGUCAGGCCAUAAAGACCCUAACUCGGUAAUGAUCCUUCCGCAGGUUCACCUACGGAAA
rnacentral:misc_RNA from 1 species